GAUGAAGAACGUAGUAAAAUGCGAUACUUGGUGUGAAUUGCAGAAUCCCGUGAACCAUCGAGUUUUUGAACGCAAGUUGCGCCCGAAGCCUUUUGGCCGAGGGCACGUCUGCCUGGGCGUCACGCAUCGCGUCGCCCCCCACAAUUCUCCGUAAAAGGAACAUGUGUUUUGGGGGCGGAUAUUGGUCUCCCGUGCUCAUGGCGUGGUUGGCCGAAAUAGGAGUCCUUUCGAUGGACGCACGAACUAGUGGUGGUCGUAAAAACCCUCGUCUUUUGUUUCGUGCUGUUGCUCGCAAGGUAAACUCUUUAAAAACCCCAAUGUGUCGUCUCUUGACGACGCUUCGACCGCGACCCCAGGUCAGGCGGGACUACCCGCUGAGUUUAAGCAUAUCAUAAACGGAGGA
rnacentral:misc_RNA from 1 species